AUGAGCCGGCUGCCUGGGGUGGAGCCCUCCCAGACCAUCGUGUUGUUGCUGUUUUCUGUGACUUCCAGUAGCAGAGACCAUGCCAUGCACCUGAUCUCUACCUGGCCCUGUGGUCUCCUUGCCUCUUUGAUUCUGAGCUUGUGUGCUUCAUGUGAGCCCUGGCAGCUGCCGGAAACAGUUUCUGGUCUUGAAGCUCACCUCGGUGAGAGCAGCAUGGGCUGAGAACACGGGAGCUGACUUCAGGUGUAACGGGAGGGCUGCAGGCUAGACCGCAAAGGAACAGCUCCCCGCUGACAGAAUGGUGAGACCAGGACACGUGUCCCCAAGCUGCCACGGAGCGGAUGUUUCUGGAGAAAUCCAGGGGAGACCUGACCCUGUCGUGAGGGGCUGAUUAAAACACAGUGGGGUCUAGAGGCGGGCAGCGGGCAAGACGUAACCACGGGGAGCUGGGAUAAUGGCUGACUGGAGUUUGCUCUCUAGAUUUUAUUAUAGACGUUUCCCACCAUGAGUGCGAAUGAUUAGAAAACUCGAAUCCUUAGAGAUGACAAAACUGAAAUUGCGGGAGGUUAAGUAACUCAUCCGAGGUUAUACAUCCAGACUGUGAAUUCAAGCCCUUCUGACUCCAAAUCUUUUGUACUCCUACUGCUUCCUCUUGUGAACCUGAAAAAUUCCUAUUGUGUUCCACAGCUAUUUGUUUGUAUACAUCAGUUCCUCAAGAAGGUUGCUUAGUUCUGGCUUGGGGAAUCCGGGACCACUUCCUGGAGGGUGUUUAGUGUUUGGAUGUGUGUGCAAAGGGCGGGGUGGUACACAACUCAGCAUGGUCUUCUCAGCGUCCAUCCUGCCUGUUUCCGGCAUAAUGCCUGACUUUUUGGCAGGGGGUGGGGAGACCCAUUUGUCACCAAUUCUCAACCCUACUUGUCUGUCUGGGUAGAGUCUAAGCUAGCUCCAAGAGGGGAAUAUCAGGCCUCAGCCUAAGCCAAUCAGUGCAUCCUAUCCUUUUGGCCACAGUUCAGGGAUGGUCACAUAUUCUAUGCAGGUCCAAUCAGAGAAGAGCUAAGGAUUUUAGAGGGGGCUAUCAGUAAAGGUUCUGGUUCUAUCUAGCUGUAUUUGAAUGUGAGAGGAGGUGUGCUUGGUGCUGUGGUAGCCAUAUUGUCUUGAAGGCUGAAUUGGAAAAUGCAUGAAAUUGCAUUCUAACAUCCUGGUUGGACUCUUGAUCCAGCCAUGCCUGAAGCUGCCAUACCUUUAAACUUUUCCACUUAUACGUACCAGUGAAUUCCCUUUGUCUUUGCUUAAACCUAUUUGAGUCUGUUUUUCUGUCACUUGCAAUGGGGGAGAACCAUAGCUGAUGAAGGUGAAGGUAAAUCCACCACCCCCACUUUACAAGUUGGGGACAGCAGUAGCAAGAGAGACAUAUCAUUAGCCUGAAAGUGUGGGCAUGAGGAAGUCUCAGUAUCCUUGCAAGUUCCAGCAAGUGGCUGGAAAAAUGAGUAGGAUAUAGUUUUCUUUGAACUCCCCUGUCCUGCCCCAUAAGAGGAUAAAGAAUAUGAAACUGCUUGCUCAGAGCAUUUGUGUCCUGGAGUAUUAUUAAUAGGUGUUUCAUUGGGGGAAGGGGUUGUGUGGUCUAACAAACUUGAGAAACAGAGGAGCAAAUAAAGAGAUAACGAACGCACUACCA
ensembl:lncRNA